CUUCAAGCUCCCGGCUCCGGUAAGGGGAUGGAACAGCAACUAGCGGUGGGAAAAGGGGCACAGCAAGCUGUAACGGAUCGCCUGGCACCCCGACUGGGUACCUCCGUUAAAGGAUGCUCCUAGCGCUUCCUGAGGACUCCAAGCACUGCAGCAGACACCACAACCACCGAACCAGAGAAGCAUUUUAAUCCUCUCAAGCAUAUGAAUGCUGUAGACAGUUGAAUAGGAACCAUACGAAUAGGUUUACUCUUCUAGCAGUCAAACUGGAACAGCAUACAAUAAAUCCUUCCCCCAAUAAUGAGACGACGCUUCACUUUGAGGGUUAAGCAGGAACUCCCUGUACUGUCACAUACAGUCUCUUUUAUUCCCAAUCCACAAACAUAGUACAGCCCACAGGGCGUUACAAAACAGCCAAUCAAUCCAUACAAUACACCCAGACACUCCCACACAAAAUCCUCCCCUCUGGAAAUACAGUUUCAUAAAACACAUCACAGGGACCCCAAAACAUGCAAUAACCCCAUAAAAAUAUCCUUGGAACUGGGGGAUCUGGGUGAACCACAUAUCCAAAAUUCACCCAGAUCCUUCAGUACUUUGGAAAAUACAGUUUAAUGCAGAUUCUGCAGAACAUAUACAGGCUAAAUAAAAAACAAUCACUGUAUAAUGUGUCCCCUGCUGUAUAGUCCAAAACCACCGCACGAUGUCUCUGUGCAACAAAUACUGGCGAGAUGGCACCGUGUUGAAAAGUCCAAACAGUGUCUGUGAGUUAAAAUGGCCGCCAUCCAUUGUUCUCACCAUGUGCUUCUGAUACAGGAAAUGGUGGCCACCCAGUAACUCCACAGUAUGUCCCCAGAUGGUUCUUAAAAGGGCCAGCAGCAGCACAACACAAAUCCAUUAUGCCCAAAUCAUGUCUUUAAAGGGCAAUACAUCCCAGGGGCCAUAGUCACAUGGCAGGAGGCUGGCAACCAGGCUUCUCCAGUGCAUAGUGGCGAGGUUGGUUCCGCCACACAAGCCAAGCCAGUGCUUGCCCGAACAGCAGGGACCAUCAGCCCCCACUCCGCACCACGCCACCCUCCAGACACACCGGGGUCCAGGUCCAGCGAGCCGGAUGCCGCACAUCACUCCCGGUAUGUCGUGCAGCACCUGUCAACUAGCCCUGCAGCAGCCGCAACACAGGCAGACCACCGGACAACAGCGUGAACAAGCUGAAUCCACAGAGGGCAUGAAUUCACCAGUCACAAGGGGACUCUCUAAAUAUGACCUAAAUAGUCUUCACCUGUCUCAGUAUAACUAUGGCAAUGUCGAAAUAUUACCCGUUUUAAUGUUCUAGCCAUACUAUUUGCAUUCAUAUGUAGCUAUAGGGAUCUAAG